UACAGAGGGUGCAAGCGUUGUUCGGAAUUAUUGGGCGUAAAGGGCGCGUAGGCGGUUCGGCAAGUCUCUAGUGAAAUCUCUGGGCUCAACUCAGAGUCUGCUGGGGAAACUGCCGGGCUUGAGUGUGGGAGAGGAGAGUGGAAUUCCCGGUGUAGCGGUGAAAUGCGCAGAUAUCGGGAGGAACACCAAUGGCGAAGGCAGCUCGCUGGGACGGUACUGACGCUGAGACGCGAAAGCGUGGGGAGCAAACAGG
rnacentral:rRNA from 1 species